rnacentral:rRNA from 1 species
CACGUAGAUAACGUGCCUUUAGAUGGGGGAUAACUUCGGGAAACUGAAGCUAAUACCGCAUGUGUCCUUCGGGAGUGAAAGACCUUCGGGCGGUCUGAAGAGCGGUCUGCGGCCCAUUAUUUAAUCCUUGUUGGUGAGGUAACGGCUCACCAAGGGUACGAUGGGUAGCUGGUCUGAGAGGAUGAUCAGCCACACUGGGACUGAGACACGGCCCAGACUCCUACGGGAGGCAGCAGUCGGGAAUAUUGGACAAUGGGCGAAAGCCUGAUCCAGCCACGCCGCGUGUGUGAUGAAGGCCUU